AGGACGAACGCUGGCGGCGUGCUUAACACAUGCAAGUGGAGCGACGAACCAGGCUUCGGCCUGGGGCAGAGCCGCGAACGGGUGAGUAACACGUGGGUAACCUGCCCUGAUGAUUGGGACAACCCGAGGAAACUCGGGCUAAUACCAAAUGUGCCCUCUGGCCUCAAGGCCUCUGGGGAAAGGAAGCUUCGGCCUCCGCAUUGGGAUGGGCCCGCGGCCCAUUAGCUUGUUGGUGAGGUAACGGCUCACCAAGGCUACGAUGGGUAGCUGGUCUGAGAGGACGAUCAGCCACACUGGGACUGAGACACGGCCCAGACUCCUACGGGAGGCAGCAGUGGGGAAUAUUGGACAAUGGGCGCAAGCCUGAUCCAGCAAUGCCGCGUGAGUGAAGAAGGUCUUCGGAUUGUAAAGCUCUUUCGACGGGGACGAUGAUGACGGUACCCGUAGAAGAGCCCGGCUAACUCGUGCCAGCAGCCGCGGU
rnacentral:rRNA from 1 species